rnacentral:lncRNA from 1 species
AGAAAACCUGCUAUGCAAAUGAUGCAUGAAAUGCAAUGUUUUUGAUUGUUUAAUUUCAAGGAAUAUACGAAGUUCUAUUUGCAAAUAUAAUAACAAUAUUAACAAUUUGAUUGACCAUAAAAAUAUCUUUUUAUUCAUAAAAUUUGGAAGGAUUACACUGAGUACAAUUUCAGAAACCAAAAUACAAAUACAAGAGAAAAGGAAACUAUCAUCCUAAGGAUCCC